rnacentral:rRNA from 1 species
AGUGAACGCUGGCGGCAGGCCUAAUACAUGCAAGUCGAACGGCAGCACAGCAGAGCUUGCUCUGUGGGUGGCGAGUGGCGGACGGGUGAGGAAUACAUGGGAAUCUGCCCUUCAGUGGGGAAUAACGUUCCGAAAGGAACGCUAAUGCCGCAUGUCACAGCAAUGUCUCUGGACAAAGUUGGAAAAGGGGACGCCCGCAAGGGGUUCUCGCUGGAGGAUGAGUCCGCGGCCCAUCAGCUUGUUGGCGGGGUAAUGGCCCACCAAGGCGAAGACGGGUAGCUGGUCUGAGAGGAUGACCAGCCACACUGGGACUGAGACACGGCCCAGACUCCUACGGGAGGCAGCAGUGGGGAAUAUUGGACAAUGGGCGAAAGACCUGAUCCAGCCAUGCCGCGUGAGUGAUGAA